rnacentral:rRNA from 1 species
GUCUACGGCCAUGCCACCCUGAACAAGCCUGAUUUCGUCUGAUCUUGGAAGAAGCUAAGCAUGGUCGAACUUGGUUAGUACUUGAAUGGGAGACCACCUAGGAAGACCAGGUGCUGUAGGUG